AUACGUAGGGGGCGAGCGUUGUCCGGAAUUAUUGGGCGUAAAGCGCGCGCAGGCGGUCCUUUAAGUCUGGUGUUUAAGUGCGGGGCUCAACCCCGUGACGCACUGGAAACUGGGGGACUUGAGUGCAGAAGAGGAGAGCGGAAUUCCACGUGUAGCGGUGAAAUGCGUAGAGAUGUGGAGGAACACCAGUGGCGAAGGCGGCUCUCUGGCCUGUAACUGACGCUGAGGCGCGAAAGCGUGGGGAGCAAACAGGAUUAGAUACCCUGGUAGUCCACGCCGUAAACGAUGAGUGCUAGGUGUCGGAGGGGUCCACCCUGCGGUGCCGAAGUCAACGCAUUAAGCACUCCGCCUGGGGAGUACGGUCGCAAGACUGAA
rnacentral:rRNA from 1 species